rnacentral:rRNA from 1 species
UGCAAGUUGAGCGAUAACUUGUUUUCGGACAAGGGAAAGCAGCGGACGGGUGAGUAAUACAUGGGAAUAUGCCUAUUAGUAUAGGAUAGCUUUGAGAAAUUAAAGGUAAUACUAUAUAACCUCUAUGGAGGAAAGAUUUAUUGCUAAUAGAUUAGCCUAUGUCUGAUUAGAUAGUUGGUAAGGUAAUUGCUUACCAAGUCGAUGAUCAGUAGCUGGUUUGAGAGGAUGAUCAGCCACACUGGGAUUGAGAUACGGCCCAGACUCCUAUGGGAGGCAGCAGUGGGGAAUUUUGGACAAUGGGGGAAACCCUGAUCCAGCUAUGCCGCGUGAGUGAUGAAGGUCUUUGGAUUGUAAAGCUCUUUCAGUAGGGAAGAUAAUGACGGKACCUACAGAAGAAGCCCUGGCUAACUCCGUGCCAGCAGCCGCGGUAAUACGGGGAGGGCUAGCAUUAUUCGGAAUUAUUGGGCGUAAAGGGUGCGCAGGUGUCUAGUAAAGCUAGAUGUGAAAUCCCAAGGCUUAACCUUGGAACUGCAUUUAGAACUAAUUGGAUAGAGUGUGAGAGGGGAAAAUGGAAUUCUCAGUGUAGAGGUGGAAUUCGUAGAUAUUGAGAGGAACACCAGAGGCGAAGGCGAUUUUCUGGAUCACAACUGACACUAAGGCACGAAAGUGUAGGGAGCAAACAGGAUUAGAUACCCUGGUAGUCUACACUGUAAACUAUGAAUGCUAGAUGUUGGAUAAUUUAUUUAUUCAGUGUCUCAAUUAACAUGGUAAGCAUUCCGCCUGGGGAGUACGAUCGCAAGAUUAAAACUCAAAGGAAUUGACGGGGACCUGCACAAGCAGUGGAGUAUGUGGUUUAAUUCGAAGCAACGCGCAAAACCUUACCAAGGCUUGACAUUAUUAGUUUUUUUUACAGAAAUGAUGAAAAGAUAUACUUAUAACAGGUGCUGCAUGGCUGUCGUCAGCUCGUGUCGUGAGAUGUUGGGUUAAGUCCCGCAACGAGCGCAACCCUCUUCUUUAGUUGCUACCAUUAAGUUGAGAACUCUAGAGAUACUGCCAGUGUUAAACUGGAGGAAGGUGGGGAUGACGUCAAGUCAUCAUGGCCCUUAUGCCUUGGGCUACACAUGUACUACAAUGGCAACUACAAAGAGCUGCAAAGGGGUGACCUGGAGCGAAUCUCAAAAAGUUGUCUCAGUUCGGAUUG